ensembl:lncRNA
UUUGCUUUUUGCAAGGCUGAAAUAGCACUUGACUUUUUAAAUGGGGUUUUCAUUUAAUUUGUUGCUCCUGUCCUAUUGCUCUCUCCAUCUUCUGGUGUCUCCAGGCUUUGACUAAUGAAACCACUAGCCAGACUUACAGGUGAAUUGAUAAAGAAAAUGUAGUAUAAUAAUACAACAGAAUAUUAUUCAGCCUUAAAAAAGAAGAAAAUACUGCAAUAUGUGAAAACAUGGAUGAAUCUGGAGGACAAUGCUUCAGGCGGAACGCACGCCGAGUCAGCCCGCUGCGGACGGGCAGGUCUGUGCACGCCCUGCCGAGGUCCUGAGUCACGCGGAAGACACCGAAUCACCCCACUGCAGACAGGCAGCCACCUGAUUCCACAUUACCAAGGCGCAGAGGACACCAGACCACCAGACCAAGGUACGGAGUCCCACUGUUCCCGGCCCAGAGGUAGGGGCUUCUGAGCUGUCGUCCUACUGCUCCUGGUCCAGAGGAGGGGGCUUCCCGGUCACCAUCC